rnacentral:tRNA from 1 species
GCCGAGGUAGCUCAGUAGUAGAGCAACGCACUGAAAAUGCGUGGGUCGCGAGUGCGAAUCUCGCCCUCGGCA